rnacentral:lncRNA from 1 species
UUGGAGUAUGCAGAGCAGGGAGGGGAUGAGAUGCAGCUCUGCAUUCCAUGUACAAAGUGUACAUUCUUUGAGUCAGCCCAAAAUUUUGUCGAUUAGGGGUAGUUCCCUUUUCCCUCUUUAUUUUGUUUCAUUUUCUUCUCGUGAUAAUUCUAGACAGGCAAUUAUAUUCUUGGACGCCAUUAACAUAGAAUAGUUUAUAGCGGAGCACAGUUGUG